UACGUAGGGGGCAAGCGUUGUCCGGAAUCAUUGGGCGUAAAGAGCGUGUAGGCGGCCCGAUAAGUCCGCUGUGAAAGUCCAGGGCUCAACCCUGGGAUGCCGGUGGAUACUGUCGGGCUCGAGUCCGGAAGAGGAGUGUGGAAUUCCUGGUGUAGCGGUGAAAUGCGCAGAUAUCAGGAGGAACACCAAUGGCGAAGGCAGCACUCUGGGACGGUACUGACGCUGAGACGCGAAAGCGUGGGGAGCAAACAGG
rnacentral:rRNA from 1 species